ensembl:lncRNA SNAI3-AS1 SNAI3 antisense RNA 1
GCGCAGGCGCCGUGUGCCCAGGCGCCUGGCGUCCGCGUCGGCGAUCCGGGGUCUGGGCGCGGCGAGGUCUGGUGUGGCAGAUGUGGAUAGCUGGACCCUCCUGGGUGCCUCUGCGUUAUGUCGUUUGGUUGAUGCAUUUGGAGAGAAUCUGUGCUCUCCACAACUGCAGGGGCAACAUGCUUUCCUGGCCUCUUCAGAUCAGGGUGGCUGUUCUUGGGUGCUGCACCAAAACUCCAGCAGUGGGCUUUCUUCAAGGUGAGCUGCAAGAUGGAAUCUGAGGCCCACCCGUCAGUAAGAGUUUCCUCCUGGUAUCCAUGGAAUCUACUGGUCUGUCUCACUUUGGCCUUUGACCCAGGCAGGGGUUCCUAACAUCUACAUCGGUCAUUCGGACAGCCUUGCUUUUGGUUCACUGCCUUACACGGGGCUUCCAGAUGUUGACCUGCUUCAUUUUACAGUAUCAGGAAAUCACUUUCCCCUCAGAAAUGGCCGGCUCACCUCAUUCCUGCCAAGACCCAGGUCCGUGUUCUCACAGUGCUGCCAUCUUUCCUCCGUGUGAGCGUGGGCUGUGCGGAGAGUGGACCUCGGUGUGUGCGGGGCUGCGUGCACUGCCAUCGCUCCCUCUACACGAGCCGGCGUGGACCCAGGGCUGAGCUGUGACCACGAGGGCCAUCCCGACGAGCCGCCAUGGACCCAGGGCUGAGCUGUGACCAUGAGGGCUAUCCCGACGAGCUGCCGUGGACCCAGGGCUGAGCCGUGACCAUGAGGGCCAUCCCGAAACUGUGAUUAUGAAGAAACCAAGGCUUUGUGACUAACUCAACCCCUCAAGAAG